UACGUAGGGUGCAAGCGUUAAUCGGAAUUACUGGGCGUAAAGCGCGCGCAGGCGGUUUUGUAAGUCUGUCGUGAAAUCCCCGGGCUCAACCUGGGAAUUGCGAUGGAGACUGCAAGGCUAGAAUCUGGCAGAGGGGGGUAGAAUUCCACGUGUAGCAGUGAAAUGCGUAGAGAUGUGGAGGAACACCGAUGGCGAAGGCAGCCCCCUGGGUCAAGAUUGACGCUCAUGCACGAAAGCGUGGGGAGCAAACAGG
rnacentral:rRNA from 1 species